rnacentral:rRNA from 1 species
GGAAAAGAAACCAACAGGGAUUGCCCUAGUAACGGCGAGUGAAGCGGCAACAGCUCAAAUUUGAAAUCUGGCUUCCUUGGAAGUCCGAGUUGUAAUUUGCAGAGGGCGCUUUGGCGUCGGUAGCGGUCUAAGUUCCUUGGAACAGGACGUCACAGAGGGUGAGAAUCCCGUACGUGGUCGACUACCUUCGCCGUGUAAAGCCCCUUCGACGAGUCGAGUUGUUUGGGAAUGCAGCUCUAAAUGGGAGGUAAAUUUCUUCUAAAGCUAAAUACUGGCCAGAGACCGAUAGCGCACAAGUAGAGUGAUCGAAAGAUGAAAAGCACUUUGGAAAGAGAGUCAAACAGCACGUGAAAUUGUUGAAAGGGAAGCGCUUGCCGCCAGACGUGCCCGUGGUGGUUCUCCUCCGCGGGCAGGCCAGCAUCAGUUUGGGCGAUCGGAUAAAGGCCUCUGUCAUGUAUCUCCCUUCGGGGUGACCUUAUAGGGGAGGCGUAAUGCGAUCAGCCUGGACUGAGGUCCGCGCAUCUGCUAGGAUGCUGGCGUAAUGGCUGUAAGCGGCCCGUCUUGAAACACGGACCAAGGAGUCUAACAUCUAUGCGAGUGUUUGGGUGUCAAGCCCGAGCGCGUAAUGAAAGUGAACGGAGGUGGGAACCCUUUGGGUGCACCAUCGACCGAUCCUGAAGUCUUCGGAUGGAUUUGAGUAAGAGCAUGGCUGUUGGGACCCGAAAGAUGGUGAACUAUGCUUGAAUAGGGUGAAGCCAGAGGAAACUCUGGUGGAGGCUCGCAGCGGUUCUGACGUGCAAAUCGAUCGUCAAA